AAUGUAGCAAAAUUUAGGUAAGUUUCAACGACUCAUAGCUUGAAUAUAAAGAUAUGACUUUUACCUCCCCUCACGCAUUCACGAUGUCCUCAAUCAGAACCGAUCCCCUCACGCAUGACUUAAUGAAAAACUGUAGUUUUUGGAAUUACUAAGACGUCUAUCGACACAGGACAGCGCACACGCAGUCAAAAACAACAUGCAUACCCAUUGCCCGAAAAAAAAC
rnacentral:lncRNA from 1 species